rnacentral:lncRNA from 1 species
CAGACUCCAGACUGACUGGCGCGACUGACUGGCGCUAGCACCUCUCUCUCUCUAUAUAAACCUGGCGCGCGCCGACCGCCGCAUCGAUCGAUCAACCACGUCCAAGAACUUCCGGCACGGCACCACGUUGCUGCGCAGAGCUGCUGCUGUCAGCAGCGUACGGCCGGAGAGCUCCACCCAAGCCGCCGGAGAGACGAUUUCGCGAGCGACACCGCCAUGAUGAGACCGCAAGCUCUCGUGCUCGUCUUCUUCCUGGCUGCGGCGCUGCUGUGCCUGUUCCUGGGCGCCGCGGUCGCCUCGCCCGUGUCUGUCGCCGGCAGAUUCGCCAUGGACGGUUAGUGGGCGUGCUGCUUUGCCGCACGGUCGAGAGGAGCUAAAAUGCCUCUUCGUUUUAAUCCGUGUGCCGUGCAUGUACGUCACGUACAGGUACAGUACGUGUUGAGUACUUGAAGUAAUUAACUGGGGUGCACGGUUUUGCAGGAUUGGCCGUGGACCAAGGGAUAGACCACUUCCUCGUGCUCGCGGCGGUCUUCGUCAUAUACCUCUUCCGCUGAUCGUUCGGCCGCCCGACAGCAGUUCAGUUUUUCCCUGAUUAUUUUUUUUUUCUCGUCAAUCAUGUAUUCUUUGUAGAUAGUUGACCGGUGUGCAGGAUGUUAAUAAGGAACUCUGUUGUUACAAGGGGUUGCAAGGCCGCCCGUGUCUUUGCUCGGUCCAGCAAUUUGAUCUUUACAUUUUUUUUCUUUUCAUCCCUGUUUUUCUCGCUACACUGAGCUUGAG